rnacentral:rRNA from 1 species
ACAUGCCUACGGGGGGCAGCAGUGAGGAAUAUUGGUCAAUGGCCGAGAGGCUGAACCAGCCAAGUCGCGUGAGGGAAGACGGCCCUACGGGUUGUAAACCUCUUUUGUCGGGGAGCAAAGCGAGUCACGUGUGACUCAUUGAGAGUACCCGAAGAAAAAGCAUCGGCUAACUCCGUGCCAGCAGCCGCGGUAAUACGGAGGAUGCGAGCGUUAUCCGGAUUUAUUGGGUUUAAAGGGUGCGUAGGCGGACAGUCAAGUCAGCGGUAAAAAUGCGGUGCUCAACGCCGUACAGCCGUUGAAACUGG